CCUUGCACUGAUUCAGCAAAUGGAAACAGGCUGUCAUUAUACUGUGACAUGACAGCUCUCUAUGCAUAUAUAUAUGACAAAUCAUCCAGAUUAUGUUCUUACACAUCUGCUACGUGUUACUCAAACACUUUGAUUCACACCUAGAUCUACUCAAUGUUUCUAAAUGCAAUACAGAACUACAGACAAACCACUGAUUCUCCUAUUGCCACACUCCUUUACGUGGCAGCUGAGGGAAUGGAACUMUUUGAGUCCUGCUCACAAAAUUUGAGAAAGAGUUUGAGAUUGUAUAAUUAAUGUGAAUCUCUGUUUUUUAUGAUCUCCAGUUAGAAUAUCCAUGAAGGUUUCUGAGGAAAAUAGAGCAAAAACGGUUGUGACUUUGUUAUGUGUAUUGAUUUCACCACAGCUGGAAGGCACAGKGGAAAUAAAGAUAUGAAACCAGUCAGUGUAAAUGCAAACAGUGCCAGAGCCCCUCUGCAGAACAGCCCCUGGCUCACUUUUGACAAGAGCAUCCUUCUGUGCCYUCUGUGUGAAAUGUCUGGAGGAAAUGGUUUGCAGUGCUGUAGGAAGGCACUGGUGUCACAUUCAACACCAGCAUCAAAGGAGCACUGGGGAGAAAAAAGGUACCUGGGGUGGUGCAGAAACUGUCACAAGGGCACACAUGUCUGAGCAACAGGCACCAACUGUGCUGUUCACUGCUUUGUUGACUCAGGAGGGUGCCAGAGGCUGCACAGUGAUAARGAGGACAAAGUCCACACCUGUUCUCUCAGUACAAACACCCUUAUCUCUGUUCCCCUGCAGCCCCUCUCCCUCUGGCUGCCURGUCCAAGGACCAAGCUCCACAGCAGUUAAAGUGUGACACAAAUGGUGUCAGUUACAGCUUUYUGAAGAACCUGCUUAAAAUAGAAAUGUUUCUCUUUUACAUUGGGGCACAUGCCAUAGAGGAUUCUGGUUUUCAGCAMCUUCCCUUAACCAUCUUUGUCUUUCAAAAGCCUCAAAUUGGGCUGAUUUAAGAAAGCUUUUCUUUCCUCAGUAUGUUGUUUCUCUUUUUUUCCCUCAGUCUCCUGCCUUUGUACUUGUGAUAGUCUGGCCAGCACCUGCACCUUGCAUUCAUUGCCCAUGUCCCUGUGUAGAGGAGAAAAGACUGACUGGCAACUUGGUCUCUUAGAUUUGAGUUCUGGCUCAGAUAGGAACAGGAAAGACUGUGUUGCCAUUGAUGGAAGCCUUUGUUAUGUGUUAGUUCCUUUCUGCAYCCCAGUCGAGUGGGUUUUGUCUCUCCUGCUGAGAUCCUCACUUCUUUGUGGUGGGAAUAAACCAGGAAGUGACUGUGAGCCUCUUCUUACAAUGUUUAAAGACUUGUGGGUUUUGUCUUCUUUUGAACAAAGCAGGGAGCUUUGUGAUGCAAAAUAGUGCAGGGAAUCUUAGUGCAGUGUGAUUUCCUAGGACARUUGUAUGAAAUCCUGGCUGCUCUGUAUGUUGUCAAAGGCCAGUCUGCAAAAUCAAUGCAGCAAGUCCUUUAGGCCCAAGGCUGCACCAGAGKCCAAGAGAUGACAGUCUGGUCGGCUGAACCCUUGCCAAAUGCCUGUUCCACCUGCAGAGCCUCCAUCACUGCCUAAGACAGCAGAAGCUGAAGCCUYUGCUCUUUCACUGUCAUUGACUGUCAUUGCCUGUCAGAAGGGAGGAUUUCACUCUAAACUGAGUUCUCGUGCUUGUUACAGCCAAAUCUCAAUUGUUUCAGUGAGUCAGACCUGCACAAAUGGGUCUGCCUUGCUCAAGCUCUCCUUCCCUAUCUCCAAGACUGUUUUCUGCCUUUUUAUUUCCCUUUCUCCCCAGAUGCAAACUGUCUGCCCAGGGUCUUGUUCUCCAGGGUUUAAUAUCUGCCUCUUAAUUUGUCUCACACAGGUGGCUUUUACUUCCUUCUGAAGUCUUGCACUCCUGCUCUCAGUUCUUAUUGCCAUGUGAGCAUAGCCCUCCUCCAUGGCUCUUCCCCACCACAGGGCAGGGGUYCUCUGUCCAUGUCAGCUUCCCAUUUUCUUCCUUCUGAGGUCACUUUUUAAGGGCGUUUUCACCUCGCUUUUGUUACCUGAACAAUAAGUAACCCAGGUAGUUAGUUAUAAACUCAAAGGGAACAAGAGGCUGGUUGAUAAUUUAUAGCAACAUCUCAAAUUUAAAUGGAAAGUAAAUAUCAAGUUGUUAGCAUUAAAGAAAACCCAUUCCCGAGAGCUGGAGAUGUAACAUUCAGGGGACCUUCUCCCUCCUUCACUCUUCCUGACUUUUCUUUCUUUUUCUUUUGUUCUUUUCUUUCUCCUCUUCCUCAUUCUCUCUCUCUCCUUCUUUCCUCUUCUAAUUCUCAGGUGAGAGAAGCCUUUAUUUCCCUGAGCUGGGUUCUGAAUUGCUGCCUUGGACCAGAACCUGCUCAAGCAGAGGUUCAGAGCUGUGAAGAGCUCAGGAUUUUGCUCCAGCCCUUUMCUCUGGAGCUGCUACACACCCCAGKGCACGGUCUGRAGCCGGGCUAGGCAGAGGGAAGGUGGAUUGUUGCUUUACCUCUCUCCGUUUGCUUUACCUGCAGCAGUGUGAUCUGUCCCUUCCCCCAARAUCUGGUCUGCCCUCAGAGCACCAUGGCUCCUCCCUGCAGGGCAUUCACAAAGAUCUAAUGGAUACAGAGGAUUUUGUGKGGCUGAAAAAGUCUAACAAUUCUGAGUCCGUGUAAAAACAUUUAUUGUAAAAUAUUUUCACGCGAACAUUAAUGUACAAAGACAUCUUCAGCUUCUAAAGAUGAUUUUUUUGGGUCAUACUCUUAAUAAAGAAUAUUUAAAGAAUGUGAGCAUUUUUUGGCAUUGUACUGUCAGUGUGUUGAUACAAUUUCCAUGCAUUUUAUUUGUUACUACAGUUUUCCUUUAUUCCCCUCCCGCCCCCCCAGACAUGACAACAUUACUGGCUGAUAACAGUAAUUUUCAAUUGUAAUUACAGUAUCCAGGCAUGAAUACAGUUUCUGCAUGAUAUGUCCUCAUAAUUCAAGGACUUUGCAAACAGACACAACAGAUUGUGGAGCUCUUGCAAUAUGUGACAGAGGAGAUGCUGUCAUUCUGUGUUAUUUAUUUCUGCUUCUCUUUGGCAUGGCAAUCUCUUUUACAUAGACCAAGAUGGAAAAUAUUACCACUGUUCUUGUUUAAAAGAUUGUCCAUAUUCUGUUGGUGUAUAAACCUCUCGAAUGUUUGAAGGGGGAUGGGGACACAGACCAUUAAGUUUAAACAAAGAACAGCAAUAUUUGUCAAUGGAAGCUGUAGAGAGAAGAAAGCAGAGCAACAAAUUAUCUGUCUAUAUUAUGUGGUUUCAAGGAUUCCUUAUGCACCCAAAAGUCCUGAUGCUGCUAAUUCUGCUUGCCUUGAAAAGACCUUCAGCUGUUGAUGUUUUUUUUUUUUUUUUAAACCAGUGAACUUUGAAGUCUAUAAAACCAGAAAUGAACAUCUGUUUGUAUGUUAGGACCUCCCUGAAAGUUACAACUGGAUGCCAUGUGGAGAACGCUUUGCUGAACAAGGAAACCUUUCAAAUAYCUAGGAGGAGGUAAAUAUUCUCUGUCACUUUUUCCUGAAGGGCUUUUUCCCUUGGUCUAUUACAAUUGUCCAUUUUAAACUACAGGAGGCCUGGACAAUUAUCAGAAAACCUAACAAACUUACCCACUUACCCCACUUUCAYCUUUCCAUUCAUUGAAACCUGCCAGUGAAUGGUUAGUGUAUGUUGAUUUCCUUAACUGUAACCAUAUCCCAGGCCAUGACUUAAUUCUCAAGGAGCUCUGAUUAAUAUGAUCUUGGUAGCUGUGACUGGGGAYACUUCAAUUUGAAGACACCAAGUGAUCCCUGCUUGUUUUUCUCAUGUUUGCAGUAUUUGGUUUUGUAUUAACUGUUCCAAAGUAAUCUCUUCUCCCCUGUAUUUAAUAAAGUKAAAUUACUUAACACUGAGAACACUGCAUGAAAGUAUGAAUGGGUACACAAUGGGAACAUGACUCUUAUUUUACACAUACUGGUCUGUACUCUGCUUAUUGGGCAAACCCACAGUAAGGGUCAGCAGUCCUGUGCACAGCAUGGAAGGCAGAACAGAUUCCCAAAGCCUGACUUCCGUAUCCACACCAUUUUUACCUCUGAUGUUUUAAUUUACUGAAUUAUAACCAUUAUUAAACGUACAUGAUGAAAAAUAAAGUAAUUUGCUGGGAUAAAGGCAGUGUAAUGUAGCUUCAAGGAGCAUACAGGGAAAGAAAAAAAGCUUAAAUAUAUUUAUGAUAAAUGCACUACUAGAGGGAGGCCAUAUAGUUCCCUGAAUAGGGUGGUAAAAUUGUCAUUGGCAAAAGAAACACAGAGAAAUGGUUCUUUUAGUAAUUCUUUACCAUUUUACUGUUCUUCCUGCUGUGAGUGCUAAAUGCCUUACUGGCCUGAAUGACAUUAACAUAAUCCCCUCCUUGAAAUGUGAGAGUUWUUAUGAUAAUGUUCACCUUUAUUUCUAUUAGUGGGGGGGAAAGCUACAUGAGUACCAAAACUGAUUAUUAUUUGUGCACUGGGAGCUUAGUCCCAAAAGGCACACAGGAGUGUGAAAAAUCGGAGAUAAUUGUCAUUUAUGCAUUGUUUUCAUAGGGUUGGAUUUCAGCUAUUGUGCAAACCCUGAGUAUCUCAGUAGGGAAGGACUCACUUGAAUACAUAGUUUUAAUGUUUCCAAUAUAUACCCAUUUAGGUUCUGAUGUGCUAGUCUUUGGUGUAAAUAUGUGAUUAUAAUUGAAAAAUGUGAUUUUACUGAGAAGGAAGCUGAGUUUUUUUCAUCAGUGGGCUGGGCUGGAUGCAGAGCUUGGAGUUGUGGUGUGGUAAAUCCAGGGGGCAGAACGGAUUUAAACCACAGACUUGCUCUACACAUUCCCCUGCCUGUAUGUGGAAACACGACUGUGCCCUGUCCAGUCAUCUGUCAUUUUCUCCCUCCUUUACUAAAAGAUUACCAUUUCUCUGUGUUUCUUUUGCCAAUGACMAUUUUACCACUUAUUCCCUGUUUCUGCCACCAGGCUGAGGGUGAGGGUGGAGCAGGAGCAGCUCUGGAGUUGGGUUAUGAAGGAGUUUCCCACUAGGUGGUAGUGAAGAGAAUCGUGUCACACGUGGUCAGUGCACGUUUUAAUUGAGUUUAUCAAGGGGAAUCCCRCAAGGAUCUUACAAAUAGCCUAGCGUAGUUCACAGCUACCCUGUCAGAACUCAAACUCUUGAUUUUUAUUUUUCCCCCUCCUUUUCUGCUCAUUUCCGUGCUAUUWGUUCCUCUCAAAACAAAGCAGCAUUGACAACUAUACCUGUCAUGUCCUUUCCUGAAAGGUGAAGUGUCUACACGAGGCUCCUCUGGUUCUUUCCACCUCCAUUAUAGCAGAAUCAAGACAUGGUUAGCCAAAUGUCAUCUGCUGACAUUUAAACARCUUGGAGGUGAGGAUUCUUUGUAGCCAGUACUUUAAUCUGAUUUUUCUCUACCACACUUGCCUCUGGGAGCUGCCCUUCCAAAUACAAAAAUAAUUUAAAAAAUGGUUUUGUUUGCUGCUAGUUCUGAAAUACCUUGACAGGUCUAAGUAAAGCAUCAGUGUACAUCAAAGACUCAAAGUAAGAACAGGUAUUUUGGAAGGACUUUGUAAUGUCAGAGUAAACUGUCACUGAAAUUCAGACUAAAGCUSUCUUGUAGGUCCAAAGAUAAGACUAUAAAAGACACAGUGAGAAAAUUAUCUGGGGAAUGCAAGCASUGCUCCAGUUUGCUGUGAGAGCAGAUGCUGGGUCUGCAAGGAGGAAUAAAUUUCUCCUGUGAAUUCAUCCUUGUAUGGAUUCUGUAAUGAUAGAGCAAACUUGCAAAAUCAUU